rnacentral:rRNA from 1 species
CAGUAGCCGCGGUAAUACGUAGGUGGCAAGCGUUGUCCGGAAUUAUUGGGCGUAAAGGGCUCGCAGGCGGUUUCUUAAGUCUGAUGUGAAAGCCCCUGGCUCAACCGGGGAGGGUCAUUGGAAACUGGGAAACUUGAGUGCAGAAGAGGAGAGUGGAAUUCCACGUGUAGCGGUGAAAUGCGUAGAGAUGUGGAGGAACACCAGUGGCGAAGGCGACUCUCUGGUCUGUAACUGACGCUGAGGAGCGAAAGCGUGGGGAGCAAACAGGAUUAGAUACCCCGGUAGUCCCUGUCUCUUAUAC